rnacentral:lncRNA from 1 species
ACUACUAAGUGUUUAAGUAUCAUAUUUACCUUCAUAUUUUAUUUUACAUCCUUUGUUUAGGUGGUCUGUAGACUAUACCUCAAGGCACAUUUAUAUGCUGACUGUGAUGAGACUGUUUCUCUGACUUUCAUCCUAUCCCAUGGUGUGUUUUGCUACUCACUUGCCAAAAAGUAUUUCUUAAGGGAAGCUGGGAGCAUCUCUAGGAAGAGAGAGAAGGAAGGGGAGGGGAGAGGAGCAGGCAGAAGGAUGGGUAUUUGAUCUCUGAUCUCUAUCCUGGAGGACCUUCUAGGCCAGGGGCAGCAAGGCAACAGCUCAAUUGUCCUACUUUAGUCCCAGGUGACAUGGCCCCUCCCUCAGAUGAGAAUUCUCAUGACAGGUUAAGAAAUGUGAAUGCCCUAAUUAUACAUCUCCUGAUCUCACGCUGGACAAUGUCUAGUUAUGCAGAAUGUUAGUAAUACCGGAUAAAGACUGAAAUCAUCAGGAUUUGGGCUUGGUUGUCCAGGGUUUUCCAUUCUAUGUUGAAGCAGGAAAUAUGGCUUAUGAACUGGAUGACUGCCUGGUAAACCUGCCCUGAUCCAACAGCCCUUAUUUCUGAACCAAAAGUCAGGGCAUGUAUUCUGACAAGGGAGUUUUUAUUAGCCUCUGUGACUAAUGCCAAACAUUGAAAUUUCCAAGACCUUGUCACAAUUUUAUGGAAUUUGUGGAACAGAGUAUUCUAAUCAAAAUUGACACUGACUUGAAAAAUCAAUAUAGUUUCUAAAAAAUAAAAUGGAAAGGUAGGUUUUUGUUUUCUUUAAGGCCACACCCGUGACAUAUGGGAGUUCUGGGCCACGGACUGAAUCUGAGCUGCUGCUGUGGCAACCCCGGAUCCUUAACCCACUAUGACAGGCAGGGAUCAAACCUGCGCCUCCAUAGUGACACAAGCCACUGCAAUAGGAUUCUUAACCCACUGCACCACAAUGGGAACUCCUGUUUUGGUGGUGGUGGUGGUGGUUUGGUUUUGUUUUUAAAUAAAUUCUAGGAGUUCCGUAGUGGCCUAUUGGUAAACAAUUUGGCAUUGUCAUGGCUGCAGCUCAAGUUCAAUCUCUGGCCUGGGAAAUUUUGUAAACCACAAGGUAGACAAAACAAUUAACAACAAAAACAAAAUAAAUCCUGGCUGUUUCUUAUAUAGCUCCAUAUCAGAAAGUAGUGUAUUAUAUUUUAAAUUAUUAAUUUAGUAACAUUUACUGAAUGCCCAUGAUAUGUGAAAAAUUGGUGACAAAAGUUUAAGGGGCCUAAUCUAACUCCCCUAAAGCUUACCAUCCAGAAUGGAAAUACGACAUUUACUAAUAAUUGCAAUACAUAGAAAGCUCUGACCAAGUAGAACCAGCCCCAAGUGAGUGUGAGAAGAAGGAAUGACUUUUGCUUUAAGAUUAGCAAUAGUGUCACAUGGGCAGAGAAAGAGGCCCAGCUUUGAAUAAUUGGUACUAUCCCAACAUCUUCAGUGAGAACAAGCCUUCCUAGAAAGCAAUGAGAGUGUAAAGAAAGUUCUAGAGAGAGUAAAUAGAUGGGUUUAGAUCCCAGGCAUGUGAAGUCGGUUUCACUUUCAAACUUUCCCUUUUGCUUUCUUUUUAUCCACAUCAAUUUGUGAAUCAAUGAAAAGAAAAACCCCUAGUUAGGCUAUGUGUCCCCAGUUUGGACUGACAAAAUUUAUUCACCAAAAUCUUCUAAGAAAAAAAUGGCAAGCAGUGACUCUCAAAUUGUGGUGAGACAUAGAGUUGAGCAUCUUGAACAACCGUGAAAAAAACACAGAGCUCUGUUCUGGAGCCCACAGAGGAUGAGUAAGAUGUCUUGAGUUGGCAUGGUGGUGGAAUUGUCAAAAGAUGAGACAGUCCCUAAGAAAUUCAGGGGAAAAAACUGACACUUUCUAAUCAUUUAUGUGGAAAGGACAAUAAGAUGGGAGAAAGCAGAGAGGAAUUCAGGUUUUUACUGUUGUGGGUUGACUGAAAGGUAAUGUAAUGAUUAGAUGCUGAGCUGUAGAGUGACUACAUAGAGCUUGAAUCUGGUUUUCCUUGCUUCCCAAGAGUAACUUUGGGAAAAUUUCCUUGUUUUCAAAAUAGAAAUCCUAAUAAAACUCAUAUUAUAGAGUUGCCUCCACAAAUCUGUGUGCUACAAAUUUUAAAUUAUUAGGAAAAUAUUUCAGGCAAGUAAGCCUAGGUAUUCUCAGUGAACUGCCCAAGUCACUUCCCCUUGCUGGAGUGAAUAGAUCAGAGUCAGAAACAAAACAGCAUGGAAUAGUGGCUAGGAUUUUGCCUUGAUUUCCCCCUUGUAAAUGAACUGUAGAAUUCCAUGGAUGGUUUAUAGAAGUUCCAGUAUGGAAAGAAAGAGAUCAAAAAGAGAGGACAGGAAUGGUAGGGUGGGACAUCUUGAACCAAGUCAUGGAAUUAUUACCAGGAAAAUUACAUAUUAUGGGGGGAUGGGAAGCCAGCAGCAGGAUGCCUGGGCCAUGUGUGCACUUGUUACAUGGCUUAUUUUGGAAAAGACAUGGAGACUUGAAUGCAGAAUUUGAAAAUGACUGUCCCAGCUAUGAUUCAUUGAAGAAGUCACUCUCAGCAUCAUCGGCCUUGGCAUUUUUUCAGAGGUCAGAUUUACACAUAAUUUAUAAAGUUAUACCAUGCAGUUGAAAGUUUCUGUGGCAUAUUUAGAAAUGUCAAGGAGGGCAGUGCUUUCCGUUUCACCCUGCCUGCCUUUGGUUUCUGCUAAUGUACAGGUCCUCUUCAUUCUCUGGGUCAUAACUGGGAAGAUUUUUCAAAUGGUUUGAAGAGAAGGUCUCAGUAUAUUACAGAAUCCCAACUGGCUGCUACUUUUCCCUGUGAUUUGAUACUGGGAGAGGAAGGUCACUGCUCUAAAGGGUGUGUCUCACUCCUGGGAAGUUCUAGUUGCUAACAUGCUCUUUCUUAAAAUCUGCAUCUAUCUAAAAUUUGCUUGUUUCUCCUAGAACUAGUUAGAAUAAAUCUCUCCCCUCUUUUGUAUUAAGAGAGAUUAUUUGUGGCGUUCCCAUUGUGGCUCAGAGGUAAUGAACCCAGCUAGGAUCCAUGAGGACGAGUGUUCAAUCCCUGGCCUCGCUCACUGUGUUAAAGAUCUGGCAUUGCCGUGGCUGUGGUGUAGGUUGCAGAUGCAGCUCAGAUCCCACGUUGUUAUGGCUGUGGUGGAAGCUGGCAGCUGCAGCUCUGAUUCGACCCCUAGCCAGGGAACUUCCAUGUGCCACAGGUGCAGCCCUAAAAAAGUCAGGUGGGGGAGAGAGAAAGAAAGAUUAAUUUGGAGGCUAUUAUGUUUCCAUAUCUUUUUUUUUUUUUUUUUUUUUGGCUUUUACAAGCUAAACUACCCCAGUCUCCUAGAUAAAUUCUCAUGUGACAUAGUCAAACUGUUUUAUUUCCUCUUUCCAGUAUGUGAAGCCUGUCCUGUCAGUAAUUACCAAUAUAGUAUUAUGUCUUCAGACUAACUUAACUUCCUAGGUAAAGCUUUCACAUAGAUGAACAACUAAUGUUUAAAAUUAGUUUCCUUCUGAAAGUUACCAUGUUGACUGGGUAGAGCUGAUGUUUUCAAUUUAUUGGACAAAUUUCCUAAGGAACACUCCUUUGGCAUAAUUUGGGGGCUUUGCUGCUCUGUUUUCCAAAGAGAUUCCGACCAAGUGAGAUUUGAACAUGCUUCGAAUUUUAUAAAAAGGAGUUUCUAGCUUUGGGGGCAACUUUGUUUUGCAUUAUUAACUCUUCUACAGCAAUAUCAAAGUGAACCCUUUCAUUCAUUUCUUCAUGAAACAUUCACAGACUGCCUGAUGUACAGACACUGGGUGAGACGCAGUGAAAGAUGAAUAAUGUUCAGUCAUCAGAAGCUCUCCUGGUCUGGGCUGGCUUUGUUCUGCCUUUCACACAGCUCAUGACUUGUUCAGAGGGCUUUCACUAGGGCAUUCAAACUGCAGACUUGGGAAUCUGGAGGAGCAGAGAAGACUAGCCUCUCUUUGUCCGUCAAGAGCUGAGGUAUCUGAAAUCCAUCAUGGUAAAAAUCAUUUGACCUUGCCCCACCCUAUUCACCAGGUACUGCUAACAUCUUGGUGGCUUUGCAACCAGAAGUGAUGUAAGAAUUUUUAAAAAUCACAACCCACUGUGACUCAGUGCGUUAAGGACCUGACGUGUCUCCACGAGGAUGCAGGUUUGAUCCUGACCUGGCUCAGUGGGUUAAGGAUCUGGCAUUGCUGUAAGCUACAGUACAGUUUGCAAACGCAGCUCAGAUCUGGUGUUGCCAUGGCUGUGGUGUAGGCUGCAGCUGCAAUUACAAUUCGACCCCUGGCCAUGGAAUUUCCAUACACCAUAGGUGCAGCUCUAAAAAGAAAAAAAAUUACAAAUGCAUUAUUAUUCACAUUUUUGAAUGGGAUAUGUUACUCUCCAUACAUUUUGGAGACUAUUUCUGGUGUUAUGGGAAAUGGGAAAUAUUUUGAGGCCAUUAUUAAAUUUCCUGAUACCUCUGAGAUAAUAGUACAUAUUUACUAUAAUUUAACAACAAAUUUAUCUGUAGGAUACUUUUCUAGCUCCCUCAACUUUGGGAAUAAAGACAAAACCUAGAGGGAAUCAUAAAAAUUUUUUGAGCAGCCAAACAGAUGUUACGGGUUUUAUAAUUGAGUUUUAACAAGAGGAUUUUGCAAAUUCAAGGAAUAGCUAAACAUUUAUAUUGAAUCCUUAAGAUGGCAGGGGAUACGUUAAUCAAUUUUAAAAACAUGGCUAGGAGACAUGCCUUCUAGUAAUACUAAAAGAUGUAAAUCUUGGAGUUUCCUUGUGCCAUAGCUGGUUAAGGAUCAGGAAUUGUCACUGCAGCAGUUUGGGUUGCUGUGGUGGUCUGGGUUCAAACCCUGGCCUGGAAAUUUCCAUAUGCCCCAAGGAC